rnacentral:rRNA from 1 species
CGCUGCCUACGGGGCGCAGCAGUGGGGAAUAUUGGGCAAUGGGCGCAAGCCUGACCCAGCAACGCCGCGUGAAGGAAGAAGGCUUUCGGGUUGUAAACUUCUUUUCUCAGGGACGAAGCAAGUGACGGUACCUGAGGAAUAAGCCACGGCUAACUAUGUGCCAGCAGCCGCGGUAAUACGUAGGUGGCAAGCGUUAUCCGGAUUUACUGGGUGUAAAGGGCGUGUAGGCGGGACUGCAAGCCAGAUGUGAAAACCACGGGCUCAACCUGUGGCCUGCAUUUGAAACUGUAGUUCUUGAGUACUGG